rnacentral:rRNA from 1 species
GUAGCAUGAUCUAGAUGCUAGAUUGAUGGCGAGUGGCGAACGGGUGAGUAAUACAUCGGAACGUGCCCUGUAGUGGGGGAUAACUAGUCGAAAGAUUAGCUAAUACCGCAUACGACCUGAGGGUGAAAGUGGGGGACCGCAAGGCCUCAUGCUAUAGGAGCGGCCGAUGUCUGAUUAGCUAGUUGGUGAGGUAAAGGCUCACCAAGGCGACGAUCAGUAGCUGGUCUGAGAGGACGAUCAGCCACACUGGGACUGAGACACGGCCCAGACUCCUACGGGAGGCAGCAGUGGGGAAUUUUGGACAAUGGGCGAAAGCCUGAUCCAGCAAUGCCGCGUGUGUGAAGAAGGCCUUCGGGUUGUAAAGCACUUUUGUCCGGAAAGAAAUGGCUCUGGUUAAUACCUGGGGUCGAUGACGGUACCGGAAGAAUAAGGACCGGCUAACUACGUGCCAGCAGCCGCGGUAAUACGUAGGGUCCAAGCGUUAAUCGGAAUUACUGGGCGUAAAGCGUGCGCAGGCGGUUGUGCAAGACCGAUGUGAAAUCCCCGAGCUUAACUUGGGAAUUGCAUUGGUGACUGCACGGCUAGAGUGUGUCAGAGGGGGGUAGAAUUCCACGUGUAGCAGUGAAAUGCGCAGAGAUGUGGAGGAAUACCGAUGGCGAAGGCAGCCCCCUGGGAUAACACUGACGCUCAUGCACGAAAGCGUGGGGAGCAAACAGGAUUAGAUACCCUGGUAGUCCACGCCCUAAACGAUGUCAACUAGUUGUUGGGGAUUCAUUUCCUUAGUAACGUAGCUAACGCGUGAAGUUGACCGCCUGGGGAGUACGGUCGCAAGAUUAAAACUCAAAGGAAUUGACGGAAGGGCG